UUAGUAGAAACCAAAAAGAGGUGUAUCACUGUUAAUGAUAAAAUUGAGAUUUUCUCCUACUAAG
rnacentral:tRNA from 1 species